rnacentral:rRNA from 1 species
GAUGAACGCUGGCGGCGUGCCUAAUACAUGCAAGUCGAGCGAACAGACGAGGAGCUUGCUCCUCUGACGUUAGCGGCGGACGGGUGAGUAACACGUGGAUAACCUACCUAUCAGACUGGGAUAACUUCGGGAAACCGGAGCUAAUACCGGAUAAUAUAUUGAACCGCAUGGUUCAAUAGUGAAAGACGGUUUUGCUGUCACUAAUAGAUGGAUCCGCGCCGCAUUAGCUAGUUGGUACGGUAACGGCUUACCAAGGCAACGAUGCGUAGCCGACCUGAGAGGGUGGUCGGCCACACGGGAACGGAGACACGGACCAGACUCCUACGGGAGGCAGCAGUAGGGAAUCUGCCGCAGUGGGCGAAAGCCUGACGGAGCAGCGGCGAGUGAGUGAUGAAGGUCUUCGGAGCGUAAAACUCUGUUAUUAGGGAAGAACAAAUGUGUAAGUAACUAUGCACGUCGUGACGGUACCGAAUCAGAAAGCCACGGCUAACUACGUG